rnacentral:rRNA from 1 species
UUCCAUGAAGCCGGAAUUGCUAGUAAUGGCAGGUCAGCAUACUGCCGUGAAUACGUUCCCGGGCCCUUGUACACACCGCCCGUCACACCAUGAGAGUUGGGAAUACCCGAAGCCUGUGAGCUAACAUUAAGAGGCAGCAGUCGAAGGUAGAAUCAAUGAUUGGGGUGAAGUCGUAACAAGGUAAC